AAGGGAGAGCCCAUCUGAACACAAUGACAGGAUCUCUGACGCACUUCAGACUGACACAACGUGACACGGGACAGUACAACGUGAGCAUCAUAACUACUGAGGGAGUGACUGCAGAGUGGAGUGUCACACUUCAAGUGUUAGGGUAUUCCAGUUUGACUCUCACUAUUCCCACAAGCCCCGUUUUUGGAUGGGUAGGCGGCGUUGUGACAUUAAACCUUUCACUUAAUCCUUCAAAUGCCGUGUUACAGGCUGUGACCUGGAGGUUAAACAUUACUAACAAUGUGGUGAUUUGGACGGGUGGUGCAGUUUCAUACGGAGUUGGGUAUGAAGGGAGAGCCCAUCUGAACACAAUGACAGGAUCUCUGUCGCUCUUCAGACUGACUCUACGGACACGGGACAGUACAGCGUGAGCAUCAUAACUACUGAGGGUGUGACUGCGAGUGGAAGUGUUGCACUUCAAGUGUUAGGGUAUUCAGUUUGACUCUCACUAUUCCCACAAGCCCCGUUUUUGGAUGGGUAGGCGGCGUUGUGACAUUAAACCUUUCACUUAAUCCUUCAAAUGCCGUGUUACAGGCUGUGACCUGGACGGUAAACAUUACUAACAAUGUGGUGAUUUGGACGGGUGGUGCAGUUUCAUACGGAGUGGGGUAUGAAGGGAGAGCCCAUCUGAACACAAUGACAGGAUCUCUGUCGCUCUUCAGACUGACACUACGUGACUCGGGACAGUACAGCGUGAGCAUCAUAACUACUGAGGGUGUGACUGCGAGUGGAAGUGUUGCACUUCAAG